rnacentral:rRNA from 1 species
GAACUUGAGAGUUUGAUCCUGGCUCAGAACGAACGCUGGCGGCAGGCCUAACACAUGCAAGUCGAGCGAGA